rnacentral:rRNA from 1 species
UACGUAGGGUGCGAGCGUUGUCCGGAAUUAUUGGGCGUAAAGAGCUCGUAGGCGGUCUGUCGCGUCUGCUGUGAAAUCCCGAGGCUUAACCUCGUGGCUUGCGGUGGAUACGGGCAGACUAGAGGUAGGUAGGGGAGAAUGGAAUUCCCGGUGUAGCGGUGAAAUGCGCAGAUAUCGGGAGGAACACCGGUGGCGAAGGCGGUUCUCUGGGCCUUACCUGACGCUGAGGAGCGAAAGCGUGGGGAGCGAACAGG